UGAAUGUACAGAGCUUUGAUGUGGUCUC
rnacentral:piRNA from 1 species